AGAGUUUGAUCCUGGCUCAGAACGAACGCUGGCGGCGUGCCUAACACAUGCAAGUCGAACGGAGUGAAGGAGCUUGCUCUUUCAUUUAGUGGCGCACGGGUGAGUAACGCGUAGAUAAUCUGCCUUGGACUCUGGGAUAACAUCUCGAAAGGGGUGCUAAUACCGGAUAAGCCCACGAUGGCGUAAGUCAUUGCGGGAAAAGGGGGCCUCUGAAUAUGCUCCUGAUUCAAGAUGAGUCUGCGUACCAUUAGCUAGUUGGUAGGGUAAGAGCCUACCAAGGCGACGAUGGUUAGCUGGUCUGAGAGGAUGAUCAGCCACACUGGAACUGAGACACGGUCCAGACUCCUACGGGAGGCAGCAGUGGGGAAUUUUGCGCAAUGGGGGAAACCCUGACGCAGCAACGCCGCGUGAGUGAUGAAGGCUUUCGGGUCGUAAAGCUCUGUCUAGAGGG
rnacentral:rRNA from 1 species